ACGGUGAUGAAGAGUUAUAGGGCAAAUCGAGCCACUUAUUACCCCAUCUGAGUUCCCCGAUGAUAGAGGGCACAUUGUGUUGCCAUGCCCAUGUGAGAUUAAGAAAUUUCUGCAAAGACCACUGUCAUGGAGCCUGCAAUUCAGCACGCGGCUUCUAGUGCCAUAUUGCCUAGAUUUUAAAUAUUUCCUUCAUUCUACAAGAUCACAUCCAAGCCCUGCAUUGUUUACCUGGACGGUACCAAAACCUCUCUUGCUAAAAAAUACGAAAAUUACCCAAGAAUAGGAAAGCAUCCAAUUCCUUCCAUAUUGGUAAAUGUUGGUGUUUGAAUGUAUGGGGACUAUAAGUUUGAGGAACCUAUGGGUGUUUACCAAAUAACGUAUUGUACUUUGUAAUAAAGAUGAUGUUACUAACUUAUCU